CUAAAAACACCGAAAAAACCACAGAGGUUUGUCCUCGGUGCCUAGCUGCAACGAAGGUACAUAAGGUAUUAAUUAAUUCAGU